rnacentral:miRNA from 1 species
UUGCCUCCUCCUCUCUC